AGCCCCGUAGUGUAGCGGCCAAUCAUCCCUGCCUUUGGAGCAGGGGACCUCGGUUCGAAUCCGAGCGGGGCUA
rnacentral:tRNA from 2 species